rnacentral:tRNA from 1 species
GGUGUGGUGAAGCGGUAACACAGCGGACUUUGACUCCGUCAUUCGUAGGUUCGAAUCCUGCCACC